UACGUAGGUGGCAAGCGUUUGUCCGGAUUUACUGGGCGUAAAGAGCGCGCAGGCGGUCGUGCAAGUCGCGUCGUGAAAGCCCCCGGCUCAACUGGGGAGGGUCACGCGAUACUGCUCGACUCGAAGGCAGGAGAGGGAAGUGGAAUUCCCGGUGUAGUGGUGAAAUGCGUAGAUAUCGGGAGAACACCAGUGGCGAAGGCGACUUCCUGGCCUGUUCUUGACGCUGAGGCGCGAAAGCUAGGGUAGCAAACGGGAUUAAGAAACCCUUGUAAGUCCG
rnacentral:rRNA from 1 species